AAAGAAACCAACAGGGAUUGCCCCAGUAACGGCGAGUGAAGCGGCAAGAGCUCAAAUUUGAAAGCUGGCUCCUUCGGGGCCCGCAUUGUAAUUUGCAGAGGAUGCUUCGGGAGCGGUCCCCAUCUAAGUGCCCUGGAACGGGACGUCAUAGAGGGUGAGAAUCCCGUAUGGGAUGGGGUGUCCGCGCCCGUGUGAAGCUCCUUCGACGAGUCGAGUUGUUUGGGAAUGCAGCUCUAAAUGGGUGGUAAAUUUCAUCUAAAGCUAAAUAUUGGCCGGAGACCGAUAGCGCACAAGUAGAGUGAUCGAAAGAUGAAAAGCACUUUGAAAAGAGAGUUAAAAAGCACGUGAAAUUGUUGAAAGGGAAGCGCUUGCGACCAGACUCGCUCGCGGGGUUCAGCCGGCAUUCGUGCCGGUGUACUUCCCCGCGGGCGGGCCAGCGUCGGUUUGGGCGGUCGGUCAAAGGCCCUCGGAAGGUAACGCCCCUAGGGGCGUCUUAUAGCCGAGGGUGCAAUGCGACCUGCCUAGACCGAGGAACGCGCUUCGGCUCGGACGCUGGCAUAAUGGUCGUAAGCGAC
rnacentral:rRNA from 1 species